rnacentral:rRNA from 1 species
AACCUUUACACUGCACGACAGUGCGAUAGGGGGACUCCGAGUGUGAGGGCAUAUAGCCCUCGCUUUUCUGAACCGUAAGGUGGUUCAGGAACAAGGACUGGGCAAGACCGGUGCCAGCCGCCGCGGUAAUACCGGCAGUCCGAGUGAUGGCCGAUAUUAUUGGGCCUAAAGCGUCCGUAGCCGGCCGGACAAGUCCGUUGGGAAAUCGACGCGCUCAACGCGUCGGCGUCCAGCGGAAACUGUCCGGCUUGGGGCCGGAAGACCUGAGGGGUACGUCCGGGGUAGGAGUGAAAUCCUGUAAUCCUGGACGGACCACCAAUGGGGAAACCACCUCAGGAAGACGGACCCGACGGUGAGGGACGAAAGCUAGGGUCUCGAACCGGAUUAGAUACCCGGGUAGUCCUAGCUGUAAACGAUGCUCGCUAGGUGUGCCGUAGGCUACGAGCCUGCGCUGCGCCCUAGGGAAGCCGAGAAGCGAGCCGCCUGGGAAGUACGUCCGCAAGGAUGAAACUUAA